rnacentral:rRNA from 1 species
UUCCGUAGGGGUAACCUGCGGAGGGAUCAUUACCGAGUUUACAACUCCCAAACCCCUGUGAACAUACCACUUGUUGCCUCGGCGGAUCAGCCCGCUCCCGGUAAAACGGGACGGCCCGCCAGAGGACCCCUAAACUCUGUUUCUAUAUGUAACUUCUGAGUAAAACCAUAAAUAAAUCAAAACUUUCAACAACGGAUCUCUUGGUUCUGGCAUCGAUGAAGAACGCAGCAAAAUGCGAUAAGUAAUGUGAAUUGCAGAAUUCAGUGAAUCAUCGAAUCUUUGAACGCACAUUGCGCCCGCCAGUAUUCUGGCGGGCAUGCCUGUUCGAGCGUCAUUUCAACCCUCAAGCACAGCUUGGUGUUGGGACUCGCGUUAAUUCGCGUUCCUCAAAUUGAUUGGCGGUCACGUCGAGCUUCCAUAGCGUAGUAGUAAAACCCUCGUUACUGGUAAUCGUCGCGGCCACGCCGUUAAACCCCAACUUCUGAAUGUUGACCUCGGAUCAGGUAGGAAUACCCGCUGAACUUAAGCAUAUCAAAAGCCGGAGGAG